GCCUGGAUGGCUCAGUAGAUUGGGCGUCUGACUCUGGCUCAGGUCAUGAUCUCAUGGUUCGUGGGUUCGAGCCCCGCAUCAGGCU
rnacentral:tRNA from 1 species